CAUUUGAAGUCUCAGAGCCGGGUGUUGGUUCCGGUAGAAAUCGAGGGAAAUUAGUGCCGAAGUCUGAGAUGGAAGAUGGCGAGAAAAGCUGUGUGUAUUUCUGAGGUGCCCGUACCGCAAACCGACACAGGUAGGUAGGAAGAAGAUUCUAAGGCCAACGGGAGAAGGGUUGUUAAGGAACUCGGCAAAUUGACCCCGUAACUUCGGGAGAAGGGGUGCUCCAGAGAUGGAGCCGCAGAGAAUCGGCCCAAGCAACUGUUUACCAAAAACACAGGUUUGUGCUAAAUCGAAAGAUGACGUAUACGAGCUGACGCCUGCCCGGUGCUGGAAGGUUAAGAGGAGAUGUGCAAGCAUUGAAUCGAAGCCCCAGUGAACGGCGGCCGUAACUAUAACGGUCCUAAGGUAGCGAAAUUCCUUGUCAGGUAAGUUCUGACCCGCAUGAAAGGCGUAAUGAUUUGGGCACUGUCUCAACAGCCCGCCCGGCGAAAUUGUAGUACCGGUGAAGAUGCCGGUUACCCGCGACAAGACGGAAAGACCCCAUGGAGCUUUACUGUAGCCUAAUAUUGGGUUUCGAUGUUGCAUGCACAGGAUAGAUGGGACACAGGGAAACAAUCGCUUUGGCGGUUGCGGAGUGGCCGUUGGGAUACCAUCCUUGCGAUAUUGGAAUUCUAACCUGCGGCUCUGAAUCGAGUCGGGGGACAUUGUUAGGUGGGCAGUUUGACUGGGGCGGUCGCCUCCUAAAAAGUAACGGAGGCGUUCAAAGGUUCGCUCAGCUUGAACGGAAAUCAAGCAAAAGAGUGCAAACGCAGAAGCGAGCCUAACUGCGAGACUGACGGGUCGAGCAGUAACGAAAGUUGUAGUUAGUGAUCCGGUGGUAUGUGAGUGGAAAUGCCAUCGCUCAUCGGAUAAAAGUUACCCUGGGGAUAACAGGCUGAUCUCCCCCAAGAGUCCACAUCGACGGGGAGGUUUGGCACCUCGAUGUCGGCUCAUCGCAUCCUGGGGCUGUAUUCGGUCCCAAGGGUUUGGCUGUUCGCCAAUUAAAGCGGUACGCGAGCUGGGUUCAGAACGUCGUGAGACAGUUCGGUCCCUAUCUGUUGUGGGCGCAGGAUAUUUGAUGGGAGCUGUCCCUAGUACGAGAGGACCGGGACGGACGUACCUCUGGCGCACCAGUUGUUCCGCCAGGAGCAUAGCUGGGCAACUACGUACGGAUCGGAUAAACGCUGAAAGCAUCUAAGCGUGAAGCCGACCCAAAGAUAAGAUAUCCCGCUGAUUCAAUCAGGUAAGAUCCCUUGAAGACUACAAGGUUGAUAGGCACGAUGUGUAAGUGGAGUGAUCCAUUCAGCAAGAGUGUACUAAUAGAUCGAGGGCUUGACC
rnacentral:rRNA from 1 species